GAAAAGGUGGAGAAUGACACCGAGCACUCCUUACACAGUUCUGCACAAUUCCUGCUGCUCCCCAUGGCCAGCGAGUGUUCCCACAGAUACUGAAAUCCUGCCUGGAAAGGUUUCUGAACAGCCUGUUCUAGCUGAUCCAUCUUGACUGGAAGGGCUGGAUAAGAUCUCCAGAGGUCCCUUCCAACAUCAGCAAUUCUGUGAUUCUUUGGAGUUACUGGGCAACAGUUCUUGAAGUUCCUUUGCUGUCUGUUGAAGGCUCAUCAACAACCCCAGGAAAGGCAGAAGUGACAAUCUUGGCAUUUUCCAACUCAAACACAAUUU